rnacentral:lncRNA from 1 species
GGACCAGGCUGCUGGACUCAGCCCUCCCUGGCUUCAUGACCACCUAGUACCACAUCAACAAGCUGUCCCAGAGCGGGGAGGUGGGGGAGCCGGCUGGCACAGACCCAGGGCUGGACGACCUGGAUGUGGCCCUGAGCAACCUGGAGGUGAAGCUGGAGGGGUCGGCGCCCACAGAUGUGCUGGACAGCCUCACCACCAUCCCAGAGCUCAAGGACCAUCUCCGAAUCUUUCGGCCCCGGAAGCUGACCCUGAAGGGCUACCGCCAACACUGGGUGGUGUUCAAGGAGACCACACUGUCCUACUACAAGAGCCAGGACGAGGCCCCUGGGGACCCCAUUCAGCAGCUCAACCUCAAGGGCUGUGAGGUGGUUCCCGAUGUUAACGUCUCCGGCCAGAAGUUCUGCAUUAAACUCCUAGUGCCCUCCCCUGAGGGCAUGAGUGAGAUCUACCUGCGGUGCCAGGAUGUGAGUGAGGGCUGGGCAGGGGCCAGGGCCGGGCAGGAGCUGGGGCAGGGGCAGGGGCUGAGGAGCAUCAAGCUUGGUUAGCACUGUCCCCCUCACCCCUCUCGCCCAGGAGCAGCAGUAUGCC